rnacentral:lncRNA from 1 species
GUAAAGAGAGAAAAAAGAGGGAUGGUUAAGGUCCCCUUUGAAACCAGAGAGGGCACACAGAAAGCUCUAGGAGCUAAUUUACAAUGUCCAGGGAAAACCUCAGUCAGUCAGAUCUCUAAUCCAGGGAUCCAACAAAUGACCCAGGAUGCUCAGUGUUAAGGUCUGACACUACAGACCAAUAUAACUUAUGGUUAGGGGGAAGAUAAUCAUAUCAUUUGAAUUCAAGGUCAUUAAAUGGACAGCAGCUUCAUCAUUCAAAAUCCUCAAGCUCUUAACUAUCCUUCUGCAUAACAAAGCAGCAUGUGACAGAGAAUAAAAUGCCAAUUUAAAAGUUUCCAAGCCCUCCCUCUAUCAGUAAACCCAGGAAUUUCCUUUGUAAACAAGGACACCAGGAUAACAUGUAUGUGGACUCCCUCUUUCAUUUUUCUGUUUCUUCCUGAGUGUUCUUUUCACCUCUAGUUCUCGUUAGAAAUUUUGUUUGGUUUCUGUUUUGACAGGCCUGUAUAUAUGUUUUGGGCAGCUGCUCAGUGCUAUUUCAUGAUUUAAUAUCAGUAUAGUUGCGGAGCAAGGAUGCACAGUCCGCACUUUUUGCUUAAAGUAUUUUUCAAGCUCCUUUUUGAUCUAAUGGUUAGGCUCACAGCUUCUCCAAUCUUAGAGCAAAGACAGAAAAAACAGGGAACCCAAGGAUCCAAAGGAGGAGAGACACAGAGCAAAGCCUUCUUCUUCCAUGAGCUCAGAGAUCUUCGUGCUUGGUCGACAGUAUUCCAAGGGAGGAGCAGUUUGGAAGGGAGGAAGUGAUUUGUCAUUAGCCACACACAGACUAUAAGCAGCAGAAGUGAGAGCUGAACUCAGUUCUUCUGACUCUAAAUCAAGAUCUCUUUGGCAGGUGAGUGACAAUGGUAGCUUGUAGUUUGCUUUCCUACUCAACAACUUCCAAAUCCCCUAUUGCCUUUAAAUUCAAAUACAAACUCCUGCUUGGCAUAAAAUCACAUCUGGGUCCCAAUCUAUCUUUCCAGACCUGGUGUAUAUUCCUCUUUGAUCCAACCAAUCUACCCUCUUGCUAUUCCUCACAUAACCC